UGGGGAAUUUUGGACAAUGGGCGAAAGCCUGAUCCAGCAAUGCCGCGUGUGUGAAGAAGGCCUUCGGGUUGUAAAGCACUUUUGUCCGGAAAGAAAUCCUUGGCUCUAAUACAGUCGGGGGAUGACGGUACCGGAAGAAUAAGCACCGGCUAACUACGUGCCAGCAGCCGCGGUAAUACGUAGGGUGCAAGCGUUAAUCGGAAUUACUGGGCGUAAAGCGUGCGCAGGCGGUUUGCUAAGACCGAUGUGAAAUCCCCGGGCUCAACCUGGGAACUGCAUUGGGUGACUGGCAGGCUAGAGUAUGGCAGAGGGGGGUAGAAUUCCACGUGUAGCAGUGAAAUGCGUAGAGAUGUGGAGGAAUACCGAUGGCGAAGGCAGCCCCCUGGGCCAAUACUGACGCUCAUGCACGAAAGCGUGGGGGAGCAAAACAGGAUUAGAUACCCCUGGUAGUCCACGCCCUAAACGAUGUCAACUAGUUGUUGGGGGAUUCAUUUCCUUAGUAACGUAGCUAACGCGUGAAGUUGACCGCCUGGGGAGUACGGUCGCAAGAUUAAAACUCAAAUGAAUUGACGGGGUCAUAGCUGUUUCCU
rnacentral:rRNA from 1 species